GUGGGGAAUAUUGGACAAUGGGCGCAAGCCUGAUCCAGCCAUGCCGCGUGAGUGAUGAAGGCCUUAGGGUUGUAAAGCUCUUUCGCCGGUGAAGAUAAUGACGGUAACCGGAGAAGAAGCCCCGGCUAACUUCGUGCCAGCAGCCGCGGUAAUACGAAGGGGGCUAGCGUUGCUCGGAAUCACUGGGCGUAAAGCGCACGUAGGCGGAUCGUUAAGUCAGGGGUGAAAUCCUGGGGCUCAACCUCAGAACUGCCCUUGAUACUGGCGAUCUCGAGUUCGAGAGAGGUUGGUGGAACUCCGAGUGUAGAGGUGAAAUUCGUAGAUAUUCGGAAGAACACCAGUGGCGAAGGCGGCCAACUGGCUCGAUACUGACGCUGAGGUGCGAAAGCGUGGGGAGCAAACAGGAUUAGAUACCCGAGUAGUCC
rnacentral:rRNA from 1 species